CUGAGGUCUUGUUUUUGUAUUCUGUAGGAGUAAGGUGAGGCCCUGAACAAAGAAGGCUCACUCCUGACUUACCUUGAAAGUGGAGAUCUAAUGGGACAGCCAUGCAUUUUACUAUGGAGAAGUAACAACGAUGUCCCUAUCACGUAUUUGGGACCCCUCUUCUUUUCAAUUUUUUCUGCAAAAUAUUCUGCCCUGACAUCAAUAAGACACAAGUUUGCUAUGAUGACUCCAGAGAAAACUACCACAGGAGAACAGUUAGAAAGACAGCCAGCAUAUAUAUCCAGGGGCUAAGAGGAAUGAAGACACAGAGCCUUGUCUAUUGCCUGUGAUCCACAAAACUCAGCACAAGAAAUGGAAGAAAGAAAUCUCAGCUGCAAUAAAUGUUUGUUUUCAUUUUUUUAAAAUCCA
rnacentral:lncRNA from 1 species